GAGCAAGAGCGUCAAUAACAGAUGGCGCAAAUUGCAUUGAAGGUUGGCGAUAUAAAAUUCCUAAAGCGAUUCUCCGUGCCUAUCAAAUCCUUUCGUUUUGAUUAUGGCCUCGAACAAGUCGCAACAUU